rfam:Schistosoma rodhaini strain Burundi genome assembly, scaffold: SROB_scaffold0011253
AUCCAGCUGACGAGUCCCAAAUAAAACGAAAACGCGUCUUAGAU